CCCCAUUCUCUCCACGCACAAGAUCGGAGGUGCCUUCCGAUCCAACCGCCCCAGCAAGGUCGAACGGCGCUGCCCUCACCAUCGGCAGGAUCGGGACGCCGGCCUUACUCGCGCUCCUCCGUCCCAUCCAGCUCGGUCGAGCGCCGCCACCCUCCUCCGCGCCCAGACGCUCGAACGCCGCCGCCCUCACCCACGGCGUCUUGAUCCGCACACGCGUUAAUGCCGCCGGCCGCACCCAAGACUGCCUCCUCCGCAACCGCGAGAACGCCGCCGCCCGCACCCGCGAGAUUGCCGCCGCCCUCCUGAAGAAAAUUUGUGCCAAGAACAAGAAGAACCGAGAAGCUGUGAAGCAUCACCAAACUACAGGCUCUAGGUCUUAUCCUUUUCAUUUCCACAAACUUAAAAAAGACAAGUACAACAAUGAGAACCCUAGAGUUUUUCAGAGAAACGAGCGUCGCUGCCCUUCAAGCUUAUGCUGAUAUGGAAACGAAAAGGAGUGAAGCAGAAAGAGAAGAUGACAAACCAUAGUCUGGUACACAUAUUGUGGCGGAAGUUCUCAAAGAGCACAACUCCUCAAGCACCUUCUUUUCAACCAUGGGGUACCAAUCAAGAUCUGGGAGGUCUAGGACAUCAGCUUCUAAAGAACGCGUUCGAAAGUUAGAAGAAAACGUUGAACAACAGAAGAGAGAUGUAAUAGAUGCAAAUGUGAUUUACCACAAGAGGCUGCACUUGAAGAGAUCCAAAUGAAGCAACAAGAAGAAUUGGCGGCUAUGAAGAAGAGCCAAGAAGAAAAAAAUAAAACAUAUGAAAAAAGCAAGAGCAACAAGACAGCCUUAUUAGCUUCCUCUUACGGAAGCAUGCUACCCAGAACUAGACACCAUACAUGACACGGAAGCCAUUACUAGAUGGUGGUGCUAUUCUACCAUCAACUUAGUUUGCUCGUCCUUAGUUAUGUCAAUUUUAUAGUGCUAAACUUAUUUAGUUAUGUAAGACCAUAUUUG